CGAUUCCGGAGAGGGAGCCUGAGAAACGGCUACCACAUCUAAGGAAGGCAGCAGGCGCGCAAAUUACCCAAUCCCGACACGGGGAGGUAGUGACAAGAAAUAUCGUGACUGUGCCCUUUGUGGCAGAGUCUUCGAAAUGAGCAAUACGUAAAUGCCUUUGCGAGUAUCCAUUGGAGGGCAAGUCUGGUGCCAGGAGCCGCGGUAAUUCCAGCUCCA
rnacentral:rRNA from 13 species